GCCAGCGUAGCUUAAACCAAAGCAUAGCACUGAAAAUGCUAAGACAAAAACUAACCUUUUUCGCAAGCA
rnacentral:tRNA from 1 species